GCGGGAGUAAUUCAGCGGUAGAAUGCCACUCUUCCAAAGUGGACGUCGCGGGUUCGAGUCCCGUCUCCCGCU
rnacentral:tRNA from 1 species